GCAGACUCAGUUGGUAGAGCGUGGGACUCUUAAUCUCAGGGUUGUGGGUAAGUGCCCCAUGUUGGGCA